AUGCUAAGCAAAGUCACACUGUCUGUAGCAUUGUUUGUAGCUGACUUUUGGGAGAAAGAACAAGAGUCUAGUGAUUGUCUUUGUUGUAUUCAAUUCAGUUCAGUUGAUUGUGUUCUGGGCUCUGUUUUGAACACAGAAUCUUCCCCUGAAAUCAACAAGCUUCUUGGAGAUGCCUGGGCUAGAACAGAAGAAGAACAAGAGUGGAGGAGGGUCAGAGGGAGAAGAAGAUUUUUCUUAAAAGUAUGGUUUGGAGAUUAAAGGAAAGUCUUACUAAUGUCCAACAGCUUUUAAGAGAUACUUUGAGAAGUCACAUAGCAAAAGUGGGAGAUAACUGAAGAAUAGUCUAUGUGUUCCAUUGGCAUGGAGACUUUGUCAAGAGACUUGGAAGGAUGUCAGCAAUUUGGGUGAACUGCCUAUGGAGAAUCUAUAGAAGGGCAUGGAUAAGAGUCACACAGUAUGAGAACACGUGGAUGGACUUCAGUCUGUACUCUUGGAGGGAGUAUAUUGUCUACAAGGCAGCUAAAGUGGAUAGAGCACCAGGCCUAGAGUCAGGAAGACUCAUUGGGGCAGCCAGGUGGCGCAGUGAAUAGAGCACCAGUCCUGAAGUGAGGAGGACCUGAGUUCAAAUGCAGCCUCAGACACCUAACACUUACUAGCUGUGUGACCCUGGGCAGGUCACUUAACCCUGUUUACCUCAGUUUCCUCAUCUGUAAAAUGAGCUGAAGAAGGAAAUGGAAAACCAUUCUAGUGUCUUUGCAAAAAAAAAAAUCCCAAAUAAGGUCACAAAGAAUCGUAGAUGACUGAAAAAAUGACUGAACAACAUUGUCCAUGAGAUCACAGAUCAGGGACAGUGUCAUAUAGUAAAGAGUACUCUAUUUGAAAUCAGCAUUCAUGGAGUUCAAAGUCUGGCUUUCCUUCCCUUCUCCCCCUGCUUUUACCUGGAUGACCGUGGAUAAGUCAUGAACACUCUGGAACUUCAGUUUCUUCAUCUAUAAAAAAAAAAGAGGGAGUUGGACUAGAUGAUUUCUAAGGAUCUUUCCAAUUUUAAGUAAAUACAUUUAUUUAUUUAAAUAAACCACCAAGCCUAUCUAUAUAUGACA
rnacentral:lncRNA from 1 species